rnacentral:miRNA from 8 species
AGGGCCAACAGAGUGUUCCCA